rfam:Hordeum vulgare subsp. vulgare, WGS project CAJW01000000 data, contig: morex_contig_135012
UAAUUACUCUCUCCGUCCGGAAUUACUGUUCACCAAAAUGGAAAGGGAUAGAUGUAUCUAAAACUAAAAUAGGUCUAGAUACAUUCAUUUCUAUGACAAGUAAUUUCGGACGAAGGAAGUACUAU